rnacentral:hammerhead_ribozyme from 1 species
AACUGGUCAAGAGCUAAUAUCGCUCUCCUGACGAGGCCAUGACAGGCCGAAACCAGUU